rnacentral:rRNA from 1 species
UCAGUUCCUGGAGACUGUUGUGGAAAGUUUGGUGAACCUUAUCACUUAGAGGAAGGAGAAGUCGUAACAAGGUUUCCGUAGGUGAACCUGCGGAAGGAUCAUUC